UACGUAGGGUGCGAGCGUUGUUCGGAAUUAUUGGGCGUAAAGAGCUCGUAGGCGGUUUGUCGCGUCGACUGUGAAAACCUACAGCUUAACUGUGGGCUUGCAGUCGAUACGGGCAGACUUGAGUUCGGUAGGGGAGACUGGAAUUCCUGGUGUAGCGGUGAAAUGCGCAGAUAUCAGGAGGAACACCGGUGGCGAAGGCGGGUCUCUGGGCCGAUACUGACGCUGAGGAGCGAAAGCGUGGGGAGCGAACAGG
rnacentral:rRNA from 1 species